rnacentral:rRNA from 1 species
AGCAGCUCAUUGGGUGUAAAGCGUGCGCAGGCGGUUUUGUAAGACAGAGGUGAAAUCCCCGGGCUCAACCUGGGAACUGCCUUUGUGACUGCAAGGCUGGAGUGCGGCAGAGGGGGAUGGAAUUCCGCGUGUAGCAGUGAAAUGCGUAGAUAUGCGGAGGAACACCGAUGGCGAAGGCAAUCCCCUGGGCCUGCACUGACGCUCAUGCACGAAAGCGUAGGGAGCAAACA